AGUGAUGGCUCAGUGGCAGAGCGCUUGCCUGGUAUGCGUGAGGCACUGGGUUCGAGUCUCAGCACUG
rnacentral:tRNA from 1 species